UGAAGUUUUCAUCAGGAGAGCUGGAGUACGUAAUGAAGCUGUUAUAUUCGGAAAAGCGAAUGAUUAGAGGAAUUGUGGGAUGAAACGUCUUCAACCUUUUUUCAAACUUUCAAUGAGUAUGACGUCUUUGCGUGAAUGAAACGUAGACAUUAAACGUGUACUCCACGUGAACUAUUUCUGAUAAGCAGAAAUGUCACGCUGUGAGAUGAAUCAAACGUUGAGUGAAAGUAUAAGUCUUCCGCUCAAGCGUCAUCCAUUUUCAGGGUCAGUUGAUGCAGAGCAG
rnacentral:ncRNA from 1 species